GGCUAUUACACUGAAAAGAGCUUAGGAGAAAGGUCAAAAUUGGAGUUGGAGCACCAAAUGUCAUUUCCCAGGCAGUUUUGAGCAGUAUUUCCUUUUCGGAAGCUACAAGAUGCACCUCUUGAAGUUUGGAGCUGAAAUUUGGAGGUAAGGAUCUUGUUGCCCUGAAUUGAGCUUAUUGCUGUCAUCCCAACCAGUCUCUUAAGAAGAAAUUACAUGUUAUUGUAGAUAAUUAGUAUUGAGAUGGGUGGAGGUUGUAUAGAAUUGUAUAGAAAUCUAGAUAGUCAAAACCCCUAUAAGUAAAAUUAUGUUUAAUUUAAUAUUGAAAUGAGUUGGGCUGCACUUGAAUAUCAUUAAGAUUUAUAAUAAGGUUUAUGUUUCUGCUGUAUUUUUAAAAGAUUAAAGAAGUAGGGUCGGCAUGUAUCAUCGGGGUAAGAGAUGGUAUCUGUUGACCUCACGCUGUCUCUCGAGUCAUAUAGUAGGUAAUACGGGAGGGGGGGAGUGACAACAUUUUUAUAAAUAAGUUGAUCUUUAUAAGCUUUAGGGUCAAAAAAACAUGCAAAGAAACAAUUUUUUACUUAGUGUAAAUUAUUUUAGCUUGAGUUGUAAUAGUGUAUGUUUGUGGUUUAUUUUUUAACAAUAAAUACAUAUUUUUCUUU